rnacentral:rRNA from 1 species
UCAGCCUACGGGACGCAGCAGUGGGGAAUAUUGCACAAUGGGGGGAACCCUGAUGCAGCGACGCCGCGUGGGUGAAGGAGUAUUUCGGUAUGUAAAGCCCUAUCAGCAGGGAAGAACAAUGACGGUACCUGACUAAGAAGCACCGGCUAAAUACGUGCCAGCAGCCGCGGUAAUACGUAUGGUGCAAGCGUUAUCCGGAUUUACUGGGUGUAAAGGGCGUGUAGGCGGGACUGCAAGUCAGAUGUGAAACCCAUGGGCUCAACCCAUGGCCUGCAUUUGAAACUGUAGUUCCUGAGUGAU